UGAAGUUCUUCCUUGUUUAGUUCUGC
rnacentral:piRNA from 1 species